UUGCCUUUUUGGUUGCACAGGGAUAUGAAAUUAUGAGAAGAGCUCGACAGCGUGAUGUGGAUCGCGCAGAGAGGUACGAACGCAUGGAGAGCCAGAUGAAGGCACUUAAGCAUUAAGGACUUGACAGCACCAGAAUCAAUAUCAACUAAAGCUACAUCCAAUUACUCAUCUCCCCUGGCUCUUCAAAGUGGUAAAUAAUUCAAUUAAUAUGGGGAAUGUAAGUCCAGAAUACAGAAACAGCCAUGAAGAUCAGUUGAACACUGCAGUCAAAGAUUUGGUGGCAGUUUCCUUACUUUAAACACAAAACUUUUCACAGUGACACAAUUGUAUUUACAAGUGGUGUCAAGAAAUAAAAACAUGUGGAAAGAA